GAUGAACGCUGGCGGCGUGCCUAAUACAUGCAAGUCGAGCGAACGGACGAGAAGCUUGCUUCUCUGAUGUUAACGGCGGACGGGUGAGUAACACGUGGAUAACCUACCUAUAAGACUGGGAUAACUUCGGGAAGCCGGAGCUAAUACCGGAUAAUAUUUUGAACCGCAUGGUUCAACAGUGAAAGACGGUCUUGCUGUCACUUAUAGAUGGAUCCGCGCUGCAUUAGCUAGUUGGUAAGGUAACGGCUUACCAAGGCAACGAUGCAUAGCCGACCUGAGAGGGUGAUCGGCCACACGGGAACUGAGACACGGUCCAGACUCCUACGGGAGGCAGCAGUAGGGAAUCUUCCGCAAUGGGCGAAAGCCUGACGGAGCAACGCCGCGGGAGUGAUGAAGGUCUUCGGAUCGUAAAACUCUGUUAUUAGGGAAGAACAUAUGUGUAAGUAACUGUGCACAUCUUGACGGUACCUAAUCAGAAAGCCACGGCUAACUACGUG
rnacentral:rRNA from 1 species